rnacentral:rRNA from 1 species
GUAGGUGGCAAGCGUUGUCCGGAAUUAUUGGGCGUAAAGCGCGCGCAGGCGGUUCUUUAAGUCUGAUGUGAAAGCCCACGGCUCAACCGUGGAGGGUCAUUGGAAACUGGAGAACUUGAGUACAGAAGAGGAAAGCGGAAUUCCACGUGUAGCGGUGAAAUGCGUAGAGAUGUGGAGGAACACCAGUGGCGAAGGCGGCUUUCCGGUCUGUAACUGACGCUGAGGCGCGAAAGCGUGGGGAGCAAACAGGGAUUAGAUACCCUGGUAGUCCACGCCGUAAACGAUGAGUGCUAAGUGUUAGGGGGUUUCCCGCCCCCUUAGUGCUGCAGCUAACGCAUUAAGCACUCCGCCUGGGGAGUACGGCCGCAAGGCUG